GACGAACGCUGGCGGCGUGCUUAACACAUGCAAGUCGAGCGGUAAGGCCUCUUCGGGGGUACACGAGCGGCGAACGGGUGAGUAACACGUGAGUAAUCUGCCCUUCACUCUGGGAUAAGCACUCGAAAGGGUGUCUAAUACCGGAUACGACGCACUCUCGCAUGGGAUGUGUGUGGAAACUUUUGUGGGUGGGGGAUGUGCUCGCGGCCUAUCAGCUUGUUGGUGGGGUAAUGGCCUACCAAGGCUUUGACGGGUAGCCGGCCUGAGAGGGUGACCGGCCACACUGGGACUGGGACACGGCCCAGACUCCUACGGGAGGCAGCAGUGGGGAAUAUUGGACAGUGGGCGGAAGCCUGAUCCAGCAACGCCGCGUGAGGGAUGACGGCCUUCGGGUUGUAAACCUCUUUCAGUAUCGACGAAGCGCCCGUGUGGGUGGUGACGGUAGGUACAGAAGAAGCACCGGCCAACUACGUGCCAGCCGCCGCCGUAA
rnacentral:rRNA from 1 species